UAUUCCCGGAUUUNAUUUGGGUUUAAGAGGGAGGCGCAGGCNUGAUGAUUANGGCGUGACGUGAAAUNUANCCCNNUCAACGGCUGAACUGCGUUCGCGAACUGGUUAUCUNGAGUGAGUUCGAUGUUGGCGGAAUUCGUGAUGUAGCGGUGAAAUGCUUAGAUAUGCCACAGAACACCGAUCGCGAAGGCAGCUGGCGAGGCUGGUACUGACGCUCAGGCACGAAAGCGUGGGGAUCAAACAGGAUUAGAUACCNCUGGUAGUACCACGCAGUAAACGAUGAAGACUUGUUGUCGGCGAUAGACAGUCGGUGACAAAGCGAAAGCGAUAAGUCUUCCACCUGGGGAGUACGAUCGCAAGGU
rnacentral:rRNA from 1 species